UAUCUCUCUAUGUCUUUCUUUCUCUUCAUCUCUCUCUCUCUCAUGAUCAAAGAACCGUGUAGUUGAGGGGAAUGCUGUCUGGUUCGAGACCAUUUCUUUGAACAAUAUUACAUCAUCUGAAUGAUCUCGGACCAGGCUUCAUUCCCCUCAACCCAAAGAAAUCAAACUCUCCAUUAAUAACUAUAUUUUCCAAUAAUCAUAGUAAGCUUCUUCAUCUUCAUUCCUUAACUCCAAUAUUUCUUCUCACGUAUGUAUGUGUAUACAUAUACAUACAUACAUAUAUAUAUAUAUAUGUGUGUGUGUGUGUGUGUGUAUAUACAUAUGCAUCUUUCCUGUAGACAUUUGCAGCCAAGGAAGACUUUUAUACCCUGAAGUAGACAACACAAAAACCAAGCGUCCACAUGGGGGUAGAGAAUUUGAACCGAUUCAGGAAGGAGUUGAUCAUCACGUAUGGAGCAGCCGGUCGCAGAGAAAUCAAUGUCUAAUACCUUAUGUGUAUAUAUAUGUGUGUGUGUGUGUGUGUGUAUAAACUCACACACCGCAAACUCGCAAGCACACAUUACAUAUAACUUUGGAAAAUAAUGUUCUAGCUAGCUUUACCAACAUAAGGAAGAAGUAAUUAUGACUCCUUCACAAAAGGGAGGGAAGGAUUUUUUUUAGAAGUCAUAUAAUUCAUGAGGUAUUCACUUCGAAAAUGUUGGACUGAGACAAAACCGUUGAAUAUCAUAAAUCUUAGAGUUGAGCUCUGAGUAUAGCAUUGCUUUAUUAA